UACGGAGGGUGCAAGCGUUAUCCGGAUUUAUUGGGUUUAAAGGGUGCGUAGGCGGCCUUGUAAGUCAGUGCUGAAAUACCCCGGCUUAACCGGGGGGGUGGCAUUGAUACUGCAGGGCUUGAGUACAGAUGAGGUAGGCGGAAUUGACGGUGUAGCGGUGAAAUGCAUAGAUAUCGUCAAGAACACCGAUAGCGAAGGCAGCUUACUGGGCUGUAACUGACGCUGAUGCACGAAAGUGUGGGGAUCAAACAGG
rnacentral:rRNA from 1 species